CCUCCUUAGAGUUUGAUCCUGGCUCAGAUUGAACGCUGGCGGCAGGCCUAACACAUGCAAGUCGAGCGGAAACGAGUUAACUGAACCUUCGGGGAACGUUAACGGCGUCGAGCGGCGGACGGGUGAGUAAUGCCUGGGAAAUUGCCCUGAUGUGGGGGAUAACCAUUGGAAACGAUGGCUAAUACCGCAUAAUAGCUUCGGCUCAAAGAGGGGGACCUUCGGGCCUCUCGCGUCAGGAUAUGCCCAGGUGGGAUUAGCUAGUUGGUGAGGUAAUGGCUCACCAAGGCGACGAUCCCUAGCUGGUCUGAGAGGAUGAUCAGCCACACUGGAACUGAGACACGGUCCAGACUCCUACGGGAGGCAGCAGUGGGGAAUAUUGCACAAUGGGCGCAAGCCUGAUGCAGCCAUGCCGCGUGUGUGAAGAAGGCCUUCGGGUUGUAAAGCACUUUCAGUCGUGAGGAAGGUGGUGUAGUUAAUAGC
rnacentral:rRNA from 1 species